rnacentral:rRNA from 1 species
CCUUUGGAAGAAAAAAUCGUAACAAGGUUUCCGUAGGUGAACCUGCGGAAGGAUCAUUACAGUAUUCUUUUGCCAGCGCUUAACUGCGCGGCGAAAAACCUUACACACAGUGUCUUUUUGAUACAGAACUCUUGCUUUGGUUUGGCCUAGAGAUAGGUUGGGCCAGAGGUUUAACAAAACACAAUUUAAUUAUUUUUACAGUUAGUCAACUUUUGAAUUAAUCUUCAAAACUUUCAACAACGGAUCUCUUGGUUCUCGCAUCGAUGAAGAACGCAGCGAAAUGCGAUAAGUAAUAUGAAUUGCAGAUUUUCGUGAAUCAUCGAAUCUUUGAACGCACAUUGCGCCCUCUGGUAUUCCAGAGGGCAUGCCUGUUUGAGCGUCAUUUCUCUCUCAAACCCCCGGGUUUGGUAUUGAGUGAUACUCUUAGUCGGACUAGGCGUUUGCUUGAAAAGUAUUGGCAUGGGUAGUACUGGAUAGUGCUGUCGACCUCUCAAUGUAUUAGGUUUAUCCAACUCGUUGAAUGGUGUGGCGGGAUAUUUCUGGUAUUGUUGGCCCGGCCUUACAACAACCAAACAAGUUGACCUCAAAUCAGGUAGGAAAACCCCAGU